GUCGAGAAUCUUUCACAAUGGGGGCAACCCUGAUGGAGCGACGCCGCGUGGAGGAUAAGGUCUUCGGAUUGUAAACUCCUGUCAUGCGUGAACAAGGUUGCUUGGUUAAUACCUGGGCAAAUUGAUGGUAACGCAAGAGGAAGAGACGGCUAACUCUGUGCCAGCAGCCGCGGUAAUACAGAGGUCUCAAGCGUUGUUCGGAAUCACUGGGCGUAAAGGGUGCGUAGGUGGCGUGGUAAGUCAGAUGUGAAAGCCCGGGGCUCAACCUCGGAACUGCAUCCGAUACUGCCAUGCUAGAGUACUGGAGAGGUGACUAGAAUUCUCGGUGUAGCAGUGAAAUGCGUAGAUAUCGAGAGGAAUACCAAAGGCGUAGGCAGGUCACUGGACAGUUACUGACACUGAGGCACGAAGGCCAGGGGAGCGAACGGGAUUAGAAACCCCUGUAGUCC
rnacentral:rRNA from 1 species